AAUUGCACUAUCAAUGAAGGUGCAGUAUUCUAGUCACUCUACUUUGCUUGAAGACGGGGCUAAAAAUCCGUCAAAGGGCACAUCGAUGAAGUUCCUGGUGUCGGCUUAAGGCGCCCAGCUUUGGGUUGGUGCUGGGAGUAAAGGGCGUAGGGCGAUCCGCAACGGCAUGUGGGCGAAGACCCUGCGCCCGUGGAGACACGUACGUUGUUUGCUUUGUGCAAUAACUAUGUGGAAAACCUGUUUCGUCAGUACUUGAACAAUUUAGGAAAAGCGAACAGCGUAGCCUGCCUUGAGUGGGAAAGAGGGGAUGGAUGGCGAAUAACUUUGACCUGCUUGGCCAGUGGGAAAAGGGACGUCUUCCUGAAAUCAAUUCUGCAAAAGAGGCUAGAGCAAAGCUUCAAGAGUGCUUGAGGAAAUCUCCUAGACUGUCUGCAUCACUGCAGCGUUCGAAAAGGAUUAUGGUGCGGUCUAAGUGGCGUUCCAGUUCGAUGUAUGGCGACAACAUCGGUCAAAUUUUAAUAGGAAACUACCUGCUUGGCGACAACAGGCAAUUUGACGGGAAAACCUACUGGACCUAAGCCGCAAUGUUUACUUUUCGAACGACCUCACAUACAUAAUUUUCU
rnacentral:sRNA from 1 species